UCAAUGGAAGCAUGGCUAUCUUCCCUCUGUUUCAUCUUUAAACAUCAUCUACAUUUUGGCUUUAGAUGGCUUUAUAUGGCGUUGUCGUUUUACCAUACUCCAAGUGCCUUCAGCAAACAGAGAUAUACUGGGAUCACUUAUUGGUGUGGUUGUUGGAGAGAUGUUUAGCUGCCUGUCAAGCUAAACAAGGCGCUUCCGUUGAGGACACAGUGUAUCAGUCAGACUGUAAGGUUUGAAAUAGUGAACUGUACAGUGUCAGUCAGACUGUAGUCACGCUUCCUGGUUCUCAGUCAGACACUCAUACCAUCAAGGACUCAACUUCCCAGAAUCCUUCUGUCAGUCACGAGACUCUUCCAGCCAAUCACAAACCACCCAGUGGAUCACAGUUUCCUGAAUACUAAUCAUUUCCACCUGUUGCCCUUGGGAAGUAUUGCCAUUGUUCUGUCAGGUCUCAGGUGUGUGAGGCUGUGUGAAGGGCUGUGUACACUGCGUCGUCUGUGGACCAGUUCCAUCGGUAUGCAAACUGGAGAGGACCUAUAGUGUUCGGAAUGGUCUCCUGGAUAUGAGCCAUGACUAUUCUCUCAAACACUUCAUCACGAUUGGGGUGAGUGCAACAGGGCAAUUUAGGCAGGUUACAACACUUUUCUUUGGGAGGGGCACAAUAGUGGUGGUGGUCUUGAAGCAGGAUGGCGCAAAAGCUUGCGCAA